AACGAACGCUGGCGGCAUGCCUAACACAUGCAAGUCGAACGAGACCUUCGGGUCUAGUGGCGCACGGGUGCGUAACGCGUGGGAACCUGCCCUUAGGUUCGGAAUAACUCCCCGAAAGGGGUGCUAAUACCGGAUAAUGUCUUCGGACCAAAGAUUUAUCGCCUUUGGAUGGGCCCGCGUUGGAUUAGCUAGUUGGUAGGGUAAAAGCCUACCAAGGCGACGAUCCAUAGCUGGUCUAAGAGGAUGAUCAGCCACACUGGGACUGAGACACGGCCCAGACUCCUAAGGGAGGCAGCAGUGGGGAAUAUUGGACAAUGGGCGAAAGACUGAUCCAGCAAUGCAGCGUGAGUGAUGAAGGCCUUAGGGUUGUAAAGCUCUUUUACCCGGGAUGAUAAUGACAGUACCGGGAGAAUAAGCUCCGGCUAACUCCGUG
rnacentral:rRNA from 1 species